GGGGUGUGGAAAGAGAGGGUGCCUCGUCAUUCAGAAGAGAGAGGAUGAUGGCACCCUUGGGGUCCGGCAGGACUUUAUUUAAAAGGGGUCCUGGAAGGCUGAUAGGAUUUGGCUGAACAGAAGGGAUAUCUACAAGGAGACACGUUUAGGAAACAUUUUGGAAAGUGCCUCACCAUAACAGCUGGAACUCUGUGGUUUUAUGGAGUAAACGAACACUGCGACCUUGCAGUAAGUGGAGGGUUUGUGUUAGCAGGAAGCUUGAGAAGGGGCUGUACGGGUAGAAUCUCCAGCCUUUGGCUGGUUAGGAACUUUUGAUAGUCGUUGUUGGGCAUGAUCUGAACCAAGUGGUAGAUGAGAAACUUGCGUUGAGCUGAGACAUAGUUGAGGGAUUGGAGGGGGAGAUCAGAAGCGUGAAAACCGUGGCUAGAGUGGUUGUCUGUGUAAAGUGAGGCAAGCUGAGACCGGCAGGGCCGAGUAGGGCCGAGCCGAAAAGGUAUUGGGAAGAAUCAGCAGGACAAAACAGUUGAGAAUGACUGGUGUGGGCUGCUGGGAGGACCCAGUCCCAAGAGGUCAGGCACAGUGCUCACUGCUCUUCCAGGCAUGUUCCAGAGAGGCUUUAAAUGAAGUAAAUAAAGAAGCUUCUGUUAAAAUGUUUGAUUAAAUACAUAUAGUGAGUGCUUUUAAAAUGCUGAUGGGGCAAGAUGGCAGAUAAUAUAGCAGUUUUAGGAGAGUUUAUUGUUUGAGGUUCUGGUGUAGAGAUUUGAUUCCCAGCACAAGUCCCAGUAAGUAAUGAGCCAUGUAAUAAUAGGGCUCUGCUCUUAAUUAUGGUGAGUACUCUCAAUGAAAUCGAAUUUUCUUAGUACCAUCCGUGGAAAAAAAUUUAACUCUGACUUUACAUAACAGUCCCAGAUAGAGUGUGAACUCUGUGGAUAUGGGAUAGUGACAGAAAAAAAGAGGAAACAAAUCUCCAAUAUUUGCAGAAAAUGUAAGCUCAGAUUAUAACAUAAAUAUAUGAGUGUUUGUGGCGGCUCUGUUGAAGUUGUUACUAGCUAGACUCUAAACCCCAGCACAAACCCCUUCCAGAUUUCAUCAUCACGACUGGUUCUCGGUUAGAUUUUGAGGAGUUCCCAUCGUGGCUUAGCGGAAACAGAUCUGACUAGCAUCCAUGAAGAUGCAGGUUCAAUCCCUGGCCUCACUCAGUGGGUUAAGGAUCCAGCAUUGCCGUGAACUGUGGUGUAGGUCACAGAUGUGGCUCAGAUCUGACAUUGCUGUGGCUGUGGUGUAGGCUGGCAGCUACAACUCCAAUUCAACCUCUAGCCUGGAAACUUUCAUAUGCCGUGCAUAUGGCCCUAAAAAGAUGAACAAAACAAAACAAAACAAUUCAGUUUUAUUGAAUUGCUUCUGCAAAUGAUAGUGGGGGAAGGGGAGAGAUUGCUAAUGAAUACUUUUCCUUUGUUUUUUUUAAGACUUUUUGGGGUAAUGACCAACUGUAUUUUCAGCUAGUCAGCCUGUCAUGUGGGUGUGGAAUGCACCUGCAGGUGUGAGGAGAAUUAGGGGGGUGAGUCCAUUGGAACAGUCCCCAGCGAGAUGCCCUGCACCAGGUUUUCUGUGGGCACCUGUAGGAAUGGGCAGCUCUCUCUCCCUGAGGCCACUGGGCACUGCCAGUAAGUGCCACCAGCCACUUAGGAAGAAAUCAUGUGUGAUAUUUAUGAUGGACGUAUGAGCGCUAGGUAUAACUCCUGGUUUGCCUUUCACAGGUCGGGUGACCGUCUGCAGAUCCUAGCCAUUGGAAAGAUGAGCGUUAUAACUCACAGGGUCAUUCUGGCCAGCCCACGGUGCCUGGUUGGCAUGUAGAGAAUGUAUUAUUUCUGUUCUCUUCUGGGGGCCUCUGGAAAGCAGACCGAGGUUUAAAAAGAUGUUGUCAAAAUUCUUUCCUUUGAAAUCAAUCUGUGUUGACUCAUAAUUUGAGUACUCCUUUAGUACAGUUAUUAAAUAUAGUUACAUAAUUAGCUCACACACAUGCCUAUUUAACCUGUGAGGGCAGAAUUUUGAUUAUGUAGGUCCCAUGGCUUAAGAAAAUGGGGUUUUCUCUUCAACUUGUCUUUAAACUAGAUCUCAAAUUAGCGGACAUUGAUUUCAGAAUUCAGCCUUUAGGAUUCCUCAGAAGUUUUUCUUGCCUUUCAUUUGUCGCUCCCUUAACAUCUCCCCUGCUUUUUUUCAUUUGCUCUUUUCAUGUUGUCAGGGUUUUUUGUUUGUUUUUACGUUUUCUCUCCUGAAACUUUGCACUCAGAGAUAGGAGUAAAGGCCUAUUUUGAGGCAGUAGGAUGGACAGUGUGCUUUCUUUCAUCUCAGUGUAUUAUUGUUUUGCUAACAUGCCUUUUUGCUCUGAAGAUAUAAAUUCACAACUGGAGAAAGAAUCCCAAACUUCAUAAUAACUCUGUAGUUUCCUGAGUGCUUAUUGUGUGCCAAGUACAGGGCAUUUUAGUACAUUAGCUGAUGUCUUCUCAUCCAUAGUGAAGAGACGAAGGCGCCUUGGAGAGUCAGGCCUGGCUGCUUGCUGUGACCGUGCUCCUGACCUGUUCUCUUGUUCCCCCUUGUUCAGUCCCAGGGACAGGGUGGUUUUUAUUAUCUUUAAAGACCUAAGAGAUCUUGGGGCCCUGACUUUGAUGGAUGGCAUUUGGCCUAUUUUAAUUACAAAAACUUAUCAAAUGUUAACAUAAAUUACCUGUGUCUAGUGGGUUCAUAGCCCCAAAUAGUGUCGUUUGGGGUCUUAAAGUGUGUUGAACUGAUUUUGAUGUGUUUAUAAGAGACAUUAUCACUGUUUGAAAAACCCGAUAGUGCUCUUUCCUCCCUGAUUUCUAAUUCUGGCAUCUAGAAUGCAGCUGAGACAAGAGCACGUCUGUGAGACAAACAGAGAUCUCAUGAGAGCUCAUGGAUUAACUUUUUUCCACCACAGCAGCAGGUUUUUCUUAAAGCGUUGUUUGAAAAUUAACAUUACUGAAAAUUUAAGCCUACCUAAAGGGAUUCUAGUUUUGAUCUCAAUUAUAAAAAGUAGGAAGACAUUUCAUAAAAAUCUGUGUCCCCUUAGCACUAGAAUGCUUUGGCUGUGAGUGGGAUAAGCUAGAAGUAAGCUGCCUUUGAUAGACGUGAGCGGUGUGUGAUAACUGUCUCUAUCUAUUCAACUACUUCCUGUUCAAUCUCACAUCGCAGCUGGAAAGCAAUUUCCUCACUUGACCCAUUUUUCUUCUAUAUUGUGUCUUUCUUCUGGUUCUUUAACAAAUAGUUUGAAGGAAUGGAGUGUCGUAAAGCCUUACACACUUGUAAGGUGAGGCAAUUCAGGCACCUGCUUUGGAAUAAGCAUACUCUCUUGUGUUUCAUUAUUUGGCUCCCUGGUUGGGCGGAUAACAGUUUUGCUCCUUUACUUUCAUGUCACUGUUUUCAGAAGAGAGAGAUUUUAAAGCUUGAAAAUGGUAGGCAUUUGAGUAAAGACAAAAACAGGUGUAUGGGGGUAAGGAUCUUGUUUUAGUAACAUGGACAAUUUAUGAAUGUUAUAAUUUUAGUAAGCAUAUAUGCAGUAAGUCUAGCAUUAAUAGAUCCACAUUGUAAAAUGCCUGUUUAUCCAAAGACGGAGGUCUCUUGGUAUCAUUGGCUUGUUACUGUUAAUGCCACCCUUAGUCACAGGUAUGACGUUAUCAUGUGAUAACUUUUGUCCCACACCCAUGGCUUAUAGAGUGCUUGGGUUGCCUUCUCUUUUUGCCAGAUCAAAUUCUAAAUGUCCUAACACACCGAACAUAACGCCAGUCUCCUUCUUGAAACCAUCUCUGACUUUACGUGUAUAAGCUCUCUCUUUUCUGUUUCUGCUCACACCUUUGGGGACCUCACUUAGCCCUGUGACUUUAAAUUUACCACACAUACCCUGAAGACUCCUAGGUUUUUGCUUGUUUUGUGAGGGGGUUUUUUGGCUAGCCUGGACUGCAUAGAUAUUUGCAUAUCUAGUUGCCUUCUCACCACCUGCACAGGACUGUUUAGUGAGCAUUUCCAGCCCACAGGGCCAGACCUGGCCCUGCUCUUGCCCCAGGACCACUCUGCCUGCACUCCUCUCUGUCUUCCUCGAGAGCGCUUACCCCCUUCUGGUCGCUCCAGUCUAAACCCUAGAGUCUUCCUUGGCUCCCUCUUUCUUUCCAUGUACAGUACAUAAGAAACUAAGAGAUUUCUAAGUGAUCCAUGGGUCAAAGAAGAGAAAUACUUGGAACUAAAUUUAAAAAACCAAAUACAACAUAUCAGAAAUCAUAUGAUGCUGCUAAGCUGUGCUAAGAGGGAAAUUUAUGGCAUUAAAUGUCUCUAUUGGAAAAGGAGAACGAUCUCAGAUCAGUAAUUUAAGCGUUUAUCUUAUUCCAAAAAGUGAAGAACAAACUAAACCCAAUAGCAAGUAAAAAGAAGGAGAUAAAGGUUAGAGUGGAAGUCGGUGACGUAGAAACAGAAAGCAGUAGAAAGGAUCAAUAGAACCAAAAUUAAUUGGUUAAUUGAAAAUUAAUUUCAGCCGGUUAAUUGAAGAUAUCAGCAAAAUUGACAAACCUGUAGCUAGAUUGACCAAGAAAAAGAGAGAAGAUACAAGGUACCAAAAUCAAGAAUGAAGAGGGGCGUUGAGUAUUGAUCUUACAGAAAUUAAGUUGAUAGUCUGAAUAACUUUGUACCAACAAGUUAGAUAGCUUAUAUGAAAUGGACAAAAUUCUAGAAAUAGGCAAAUUGCCAAAACUGACUCAAGAAAAAUGAAAAGUCUGAAUAGACAUAUAAUGAGUAAAGAAAUUGAAUUGAUAAUUAACAAUUUUGCCACAAAGAAAAGCCCAAGUUAUUUUGGCUUCAGUGGUAAAUUCUGUCAGACAUAUAAA
rnacentral:lncRNA from 1 species